UACGGGGGGGGCAAGCGUUGUCCGGAAUUAUUGGGCGUAAAGAGCGUGUAGGCGGCCAACUAAGUCCUGCGUGAAAUCUCGGGGCUCAACCCCGAGCGGUCGUGGGAAACUGGUUGGCUAGAGUGCGGGAGAGGAGAGUGGAAUUCCUGGUGUAGCGGUGAAAUGCGCAGAUAUCAGGAAGAACACCCGUGGCGAAGGCGGCUCUCUGGAACGCAACUGACGCUGAGACGCGAAAGCGUGGGGAGCAAACAGG
rnacentral:rRNA from 1 species